rnacentral:rRNA from 1 species
UGGGGAAUUUUGGACAAUGGGCGAAAGCCUGAUCCAGCAAUGCCGCGUGUGUGAAGAAGGCCUUCGGGUUGUAAAGCACUUUUGUCCGGAAAGAAAUCCUUGGCUCUAAUACAGUCGGGGGAUGACGGUACCGGAAGAAUAAGCACCGGCUAACUACGUGCCAGCAGCCGCGGUAAUACGUAGGGUGCAAGCGUUAAUCGGAAUUACUGGGCGUAAAGCGUGCGCAGGCGGUUUGCUAAGACCGAUGUGAAAUCCCCGGGCUCAACCUGGGAACUGCAUUGGUGACUGGCAGGCUAGAGUAUGGCAGAGGGGGUAGAAUUCCACGUGUAGCAGUGAAAUGCGUAGAGAUGUGGAGGAAUACCGAUGGCGAAGGCAGCCCCCUGGGCCAAUACUGACGCUCAUGCACGAAAGCGUGGGGAGCAAACAGGAUUAGAUACCCUGGUAGUCCACGCCCUAAACGAUGUCAACUAGUUGUUGGGGAUUCAUUUCCUUAGUAACGUAGCUAACGCGUGAAGUUGACCGCCUGGGGAGUACGGUCGCAAGAUUAAAACUCAAAUGAAUUGACGGGGUCAUAGCUGUUUCCU